AACUGGUCGGGAGCUGGAGUCCUUCCCCUGAUGAGUCCAUGACAUGACGAAACUAGUC
rnacentral:hammerhead_ribozyme from 1 species